UACGUAGGGGGCAAGCGUUGUCCGGAUUUAUUGGGCGUAAAGAGCGUGUAGGCGGUUUGGUAGGUCCGUUGUGAAAACUCGAGGCUCAACCUCGAGACGCCGAUGGAAACCAUCAGACUAGAGUCCGGAAGAGGAGAGUGGAAUUCCUGGUGUAGCGGUGAAAUGCGCAGAUAUCAGGAGGAACACCUGUGGCGAAAGCGGCUCACUGGACCACAACUGACGCUGAGGCGCGAAAGCUAGGGGAGCAAACAGG
rnacentral:rRNA from 1 species